GUGCCAGCAGCCGCGGUAAUACGGGGGGUGCAAGCGUUGUUCGGAAUCAUUGGGCGUAAAGCGCGCGCAGGCGGCUUGGUAAGUCAGAUGUGAAAUCCCUGGGCUUAACCCAGGAAGUGCAUUUGAUACUGCCUCGCUAGAGUACGGGAGAGGAAAGUGGAAUUCCUGGUGUAGAGGUGAAAUUCGUAGAUAUCAGGAGGAACACCGGUGGCGAAGGCGACUUUCUGGCCCGAUACUGACGCUCAGGCGCGAAAGCGUGGGGAGCAAACAGGAUUAGAAACCCCUGUAGUCC
rnacentral:rRNA from 1 species